rnacentral:rRNA from 1 species
GAAUUUUGGACAAUGGGGGCAACCCUGAUCCAGCCACCCCGCGUGUGCGAUGAAGGCCUUCGGUUUGUAAAGCACUUUUGGCAGGGAAGAAAAGGCUCUGGCUAAUACCUGGAGCUGCUAACGGUACCUGCAGAAUAAGCACCGGCUAACUACGUCCCAGCAACCGCGGUAAUACGUAGGGUGCACGCGUUAAUCGGAAUUACUGGGCGUAAAGCGUGCGCAGGGGGUUCGGCAAGAAGGAUGUGAAAUCCCAGGGCUUAACCUUGGAACGGCAUUCUUAACUGCCGGGCUAGAGUAUGUCAGAGGGGGGUAGAAUUCCGCGUGUAGCAGUGAAAUGCGUAGAGAUGCGGAGGAAUACCGAUGGCGAAGGCAGCCCCCUGGGAUAAUACUGACGCUCAUGCACGAAAGCAUGGGGAGCAAAC